CAGUCGCCACGGUAAUACGUAGGGUGCAAGCGUUAAUCGGAAUUACUGGGCGUAAAGCGUGCGCAGGCGGUUCGUUAAGACAGAUGUGAAAUCCCCGAGCUUAACUUGGGAACUGCAUUUGAAACUGGCAAGCUAGAGUCUUGUAGAGGGGGGUAGAAUUCCAGGUGUAGCGGUGAAAUGCGUAGAGAUCUGGAGGAAUACCGGUGGCGAAGGCGGCCCCCUGGACAAAGACUGACGCUCAGGUGCGAAAGCGUGGGGAGCAAACAGGAUUAGAUACCCCUGUAGUCCCUGUCUCUUAUAC
rnacentral:rRNA from 1 species